AGGACCCAGUGCUCUUCUGUUGAACUCAAAAGCAGAACCUCUGUUGACUUCAACAGGAGCAAGACUGAGCCCC
rnacentral:pre_miRNA from 1 species